UACUGCAGAGCCUCCUUUGAAGCUCCAUCUGUGCUGUUGGGUCCCAUGAAGCACACGGGAAAGGACAAAAGAUUCUGGGGCAGGGACAAGGCAUGGAUGGCAAGAUAGAGGAAGGGAUGCCAAAAGAUGGGAAAUGGGAGAGAACUCCAGCCUCAAAAGGUCUGUACCCAUUUUGAGAGAGACCAGGUGGGUGAGGCCAUAUCUUUUACUGGACCAACUUCUGCUGGUGAAAGAGACAAGCUUUUGAGCUCCAUAGAGCUCUUCUUCAGGCCAGCAUUUUGCUCAGUUCAGCACUGCUAUUUCAAAGAGACAAAAAGCACCUUGUUGCUAGAAGCCCUUCUCACUGAGAAUACACUGUUAAAAGCUGCUUUUAAUGCAUGCAAAUGGCGCUGGACCGACAGCUGAGACAACUCUCUACAGCCCACAUUGGUGACCAGAUGAUAACAGCUUUAGCCAGCACACAGGCCGGAUUUGAACUGACAGCCUAAAGAGGAUUGCAAAGAGGCACAGAGGAUCUUUCUACUGAGAAGACAGGAGGAUAAUGAGAUGUCUCAUGAAUGGAAGAUAACAGCCAAACCUGGCUGUAAUAUAUUGGAAGGAUUUUGGGUGUUGUGACUGCCGUGGCAGAGAGAAGGGAGGAAUCAUUUGGGGUGUCUGUCCCUCCUUUUUAUAGUCCUCUCCCUUUUUUGAGAAACAUCUCCAGCUGGGAACAUGGUGACCGACAGACUCUGUGGCUGGAAACUCCAUGCUAUUUCUGUGCUUAGAUGUAGAUUUUUUUGCCCAUGUCCCUCUUCCUGCCAAUGAAUAGCCACUUAGAAGGUGAUGGCCCAUUUGACCUUGUUCACACCUGGCUGAGGCAUCAGUUUAUCCUUUGUCUCUGAGGAUCUGGUUUGACCACUCCCCAGAUUUGGAAUGUGUUUUAGUAACUGUGGUCCUAUAAAGGAAAGGUCACCAUGUUUACACUGAUGUAUCACACUGUUGUGAUAAAUCUUGUACAAAGUAUGCCACUUUAUUAUUGGAAAAGUUAUAAUCUGCUAACCACGAUUAUCCUGUCUCUAUGCAUGUAUCAUCAUUGUAUGUUAAGUUAUGAAAUGUUGCUAGGUGUUUGUAUCUCAAACCUGUUGUGUUUCUGGAUAACACCCCCAACACAGAUUUACAUCAAGACUAGCCAGCCAUUAAAGACAAUCAGCUUUUCCAGGGACUCCUCACGAGGUCUCUUCAGGCAGCACGUAGGCAAUGAAUGCCUCAUGACUUAGCAAGGCACAGGUGACCCAGGACUCCAUGUUUGUACCAGUAACUUUCCAUGCACCUGGACUAAGAGGUAUAAAUUGCAGACUAUGACAUCAUUCUUAGUUUUCAGUCCUGCUCCAUUUUUCUGGACUGUGAUUUUCAAACAUGAAGGAAGAUUUAAACAAAGGACUGAUCUUUUUGGGUGAUCCAGAAACACUUAUUGCAAGUUAGCAGAAUUAUUGUCACUUCUAUUAUACUGACCUACAGACUCUGAAAUCGAUUGUAAUGUAUAUGAUUCCUUUAACCAUUUAAUAAUGCUCUGUCUUUUAAAAAUAAAUAAAUCUUUAGUUAGUUUAUGAAAGUGUGGCUGCAGUGUGGUCUUUUGUAAUAUCUUGAAAGUACAUGUUGACCUGGGGGUGAGUGUAUGAUUCUUUGGGAUUGGAAUGUAUGGUAGAGUUUGGUUUUAAUAACCUUACAUCACUAAGUCCAGUUGUCUGAGUGGUAACCAGG